GUGUUGAGAACUGCAAAGUCAUUCAUGCCUCUCCAAAACACCUUACACAGAAAAGAUGAGAGAACGUAGUUUACCUGGAGGAUGGUUGGAGGGUGGGGGGCCUGAGGUGACAUAAAACUGAACUAAAUCUAUCCAAACGGCAAUGAGGAUGCUAUGAUACAACAUAAUGGGUGAAAACUGACUUCAUAGUUUUAAAUAUGCAGAUGUGACAGCGGAAUAAAUGCAGGAAAAUUUGAUCUUUAACUUAGGUACUACUGAUACCACUUGGGCUAAUUGUAACUACUUCAGUACCACGCUCCUAAUGGAAAGCAAAA